rnacentral:rRNA from 1 species
AGAGUUUGAUCCUGGCUCAGGAUGAACGCUAGCUACAGGCUUAACACAUGCAAGUCGAGGGGCAGCAUGAACUUAGCUUGCUAAGUUUGAUGGCGACCGGCGCACGGGUGAGUAACACGUAUCCAACCUGCCGUCUACUCUUGGACAGCCUUCUGAAAGGAAGAUUAAUACAAGAUGGCAUCAUGAGUCCGCAUGUUCACAUGAUUAAAGGUAUUCCGGUAGACGAUGGGGAUGCGUUCCAUUAGGUUGUUGGCGGGGUAACGGCCCACCAAGGCGACGAUCAGUAGCCGGACUGAGAGGUUGAACGGCCACAUUGGGACUGAGACACGGCCCAGACUCCUACGGGAGGCAGCAGUGGGGAAUAUUGCACAAUGGGGGAAACCCUGAUGCAGCGACGCCGCGUGGAGGAAGAAGGUCUUCGGAUUGUAAACUCCUGUUGUUGGGGAAGAUAAUGACGGUACCCAACAAGGAAGUGACGGCUAACUACGUGCCAGCAGCCGCGGUAAAACGUAGGUCACAAGCGUUGUCCGGAAUUACUGGGUGUAAAGGGAGCGCAGGCGGGAAGACAAGUUGGAAGUGAAAUCUAUGGGCUCAACCCAUAAACUGCUUUCAAAACUGUUUUUCUUGAGUAGUGCAGAGGUAGGCGGAAUUCCCGGUGUAGCGGUGGAAUGCGUAGAUAUCGGGAGGAACACCAGUGGCGAAGGCGGCCUACUGGGCACCAACUGACGCUGAGGCUCGAAAGUGUGGGUAGCAAACAGGAUUAGAUACCCUGGUAGUCCACACCGUAAACGAUGAUUACUAGGUGUUGGAGGAUUGACCCCUUCAGUGCCGCAGUUAACACAAUAAGUAAUCCACCUGGGGAGUACGACCGCAAGGUUGAAACUCAAAGGAAUUGACGGGGGCCCGCACAAGCAGUGGAGUAUGUGGUUUAAUUCGAAGCAACGCGAAGAACCUUACCAGGUCUUGACAUCCAACUAACGAAGUAGAGAUACAUUAGGUGCCCUUCGGGGAAAGUUGAGACAGGUGGUGCAUGGUUGUCGUCAGCUCGUGUCGUGAGAUGUUGGGUUAAGUCCCGCAACGAGCGCAACCCCUAUCCUCAGUAGCCAGCAUUUAAGGUGGGCACUCUGGGGAGACUGCCAGGGAUAACCUGGAGGAAGGCGGGGAUGACGUCAAAUCAUCAUGCCCCUUAUGAUUUGGGCUACACACGUGCUACAAUGGCGUAAACAAAGGGAAGCGAGACUGCGAGGGUAAGCAAAUCUCAAAAAUAACGUCUCAGUUCGGAUUGUAGUCUGCAACUCGACUACAUGAAGCUGGAAUCGCUAGUAAUCGCAGAUCAGAAUGCUGCGGUGAAUACGUUCCCGGGUCUUGUACACACCGCCCGUCACACCAUGGGAGUUGGAAAUGCCCGAAGUCAGUGACCCAACCGCAAGGAGGGAGCUGCCGAAGGCAGGUUCGAUAACUGGGGUGAAGUCGUAACAAGGUAGCCGUAUCG